UAACGCAACACACACAGAACAUUGAAGGUGUGUUGCUGUUGCCACAGACACAUUUAGUUUCUAAAGAAGCUGGUGGCAGCAAAAUAAAACACAGCUGGCUAAACUAU